CUGGCGGCGCGCCUAACACAUGCAAGUCGAACGAGUGAGAGAGAGCUUGCUUUCUCGAGCGAGUGGCGAACGGGUGAGUAACGCGUGAGGAACCUGCCUCAAAGAUGGGGACAACAGUUGGAAACGACUGCUAAUACCGCAUAAGCCCACGGGUCGGCAUCGACCAGAGGGAAAAGGAGCAAUCCGCUUUGAGAUGGCCUCGCGUCCGAUUAGCUAGUUGGUGAGGUAACGGCCCACCAAGGCGACGAUCGGUAGCCGGACUGAGAGGUUGAACGGCCACAUUGGGACUGAGACACGGCCCAGACUCCUACGGGAGGCAGCAGUGGGGAAUAUUGCACAAUGGGGGAAACCCUGAUGCAGCGACGCCGCGUGGAGGAAGAAGGUCUUCGGAUUGUAAACUCCUGUUGUUGGGGAAGAUAAUGACGGUACCCAACAAGGAAGUGACGGCUAACUACGUGCCAGCAGCCGCGGUAAAACGUAGGUCACAAGCGUUGUCCGGAAUUACUGGGUGUAAAGGGAGCGCAGGCGGGAAGACAAGUUGGAAGUGAAAUCUAUGGGCUCAACCCAUAAACUGCUUUCAAAACUGUUUUUCUUGAGUAGUGCAGAGGUAGGCGGAAUUCCCGGUGUAGCGGUGGAAUGCGUAGAUAUCGGGAGGAACACCAGUGGCGAAGGCGGCCUACUGGGCACCAACUGACGCUGAGGCUCGAAAGUGUGGGUAGCAAACAGGAUUAGAUACCCUGGUAGUCCACGCUGUAAACGAUGAUUACUAGGUGUGGGGGGUCUGACCCCUUCCGU
rnacentral:rRNA from 1 species